UACCAGCACCCCGAGUGGUCGGGACGUUUAUUGGGCCUAAAGCAUCCGUAGCCGGUUCUACAAGUCUUCCGUUAAAUCCAGCUGCUUAACAGAUGGGCUGCGGAAGAUACUAUGGAGCUAGGAGGCGGGAGAGGCAAGCGGUACUCGAUGGGUAGGGGUAAAAUCCGUUGAUCCAUUGAAGAACACCAGUGGCGAAGGCGGCUCACUGGCCCGUUACCGACGCUCAGGCGCGACAGCGUGGGGAGCGAACAGG
rnacentral:rRNA from 1 species